CAGUGGGGAUUCUUCCGCAUGGACGAAAGUCUGACGGAGCAACGCCGCGUGAGUGAUGACGGCCUUCGGGUUGUAAAGCUCUGUUAAUCGGGACGAAAGGCCUUCUUGCGAACAGUUAGAAGGAUUGACGGUACCGGAAUAGAAAGCCACGGCUAACUACGUGCCAGCAGCCGCGGUAAUACGUAGGUGGCAAGCGUUGUCCGGAAUUAUUGGGCGUAAAGCGCGCGCAGGCGGAUCAGUUAGUCUGUCUUAAAAGUUCGGGGCUUAACCCCGUGAUGGGAUGGAAACUGCUGAUCUAGAGUAUCGGAGAGGAAAGUGGAAUUCCUAGUGUAGCGGUGAAAUGCGUAGAUAUUAGGAAGAACACCAGUGGCGAAGGCGACUUUCUGGACGAAAACUGACGCUGAGGCGCGAAAGCCAGGGGAGCGAACGGGAUUAGAUACCCCGGUAGUCCUGGCCGUAAACGAUGGGUACUAGGUGUAGGAGGUAUCGACCCCUUCUGUGCCGGAGUUAACGCAAUAAGUACCCCGCCUGGGGAGUACGACCGCAAGGUUGAAACUCAAAGGAAUUGACGGA
rnacentral:rRNA from 1 species